rnacentral:rRNA from 1 species
AGAGUUUGAUCCUGGCUCAGAACGAACGCUGGCGGCAGGCCUAACACAUGCAAGUCGAACGCCCUAGCAAUAGGGAGUGGCAGACGGGUGAGUAACACGUGGGAACCUUCCCUAUAGUAUGGAAUAGCCCAGGGAAACUUGGAGUAAUACCGUAUACGCCCGAGAGGGGAAAGAUUUAUCGCUAUAGGAUGGGCCCGCGUAGGAUUAGCUAGUUGGUGAGGUAAUGGCUCACCAAGGCGACGAUCCUUAGCCGGUCUGAGAGGACGACCAGCCACACUGGGACUGAGACACGGCCCAGACUCCUACGGGAGGCAGCAGUGGGGAAUAUUGGACAAUGGGCGCAAGCCUGAUCCAGCCAUGCCGCGUGAGUGAUGAAGGCCUUAGGGUUGUAAAGCUCUUUUGCCGGGGACGAUAAUGACGGUACCCGGAGAAUAAGUCCCGGCUAACUUCGUG